AUUAAAAUGCCAGUGAGCAGCACGGGUACCUGGUACUCUGCUAGUAUUUGAUCAACACUAACUUUAUUUUAUGUUCAUGCAGGAAAUGGACUGAUUCCUUUGAAAUUCCUAUGUUGAAAACAGUCCCUUACUCCACUCAGGUGAAGUAUAAAGCCAAGUGUGAAGCUAUGAACCAUAUUAACAAAGAGUAGCAUAUGUAUUGUAAUAGUAGGCAGUAGUACGUAUAUCUGGGUUGUGAUGUAGUGUAAAUAUUGUAAUAGACAAAUUUAAUGUUGGUUUUGACGAAUUUCAUUUGCUCCCUAGCAUGUUUGAAAUAUUGAUUCUGAAUGUGAUUUGAAUACCUAUGAAAUGGCAACUUGACAAGGGGACCAAGUUAUGAUAUUUA